GGUGUGUAAGCACAUAUGGAUGUGCGGUUGGCUGUUAACCAAAUGGUAUAGGGUUCGAAUCCCUAACGCACCGCCA
rnacentral:tRNA from 4 species